AAAACAGCCCUUUUCAGGGCUACACACAUGCUCAGGAAAAGCAAU
rfam:Lingula anatina scaffold1889, whole genome shotgun sequence.